UGUCCUGAUGCCCCCAUUUCCCUCUCUUCUCCUCUCUCUCUUUCCCCUCUCUCUUUCAUACUCUUGCUCCCUCUCUCUCUCUCACUCUCUCUGUGCUGAUGGUACAUAGUCUGUGUGUGUGAGUUCGCACGUUCAGAGCUUGUCUGUGUUCCUGCAUGCCUGCACCCAACGGAUGGAUAACGGCCAGCUCACUUGACUGUCUCCCGCGAUCUAUUUAUCAACAAUUCUGGCUGGUUUUGUCUCCUGUGAAGGGUCUAGUGAUGUACUGGCAGAUUCUCUCUGAUGGCAUUUGCUGCCUUAUUGCCCUGUGCUGGAUUUAAUAACUAGUGCUCUGGAUACAGAACCAGACUAAUGCAAAGAACUCUGCAUUAGUUACUGAUCUGGAAAAGGCUAGCUGGUCGAUAGGGUACUGUGGACGGAGGAAGAAGAGGGCAUGUGGACCCAGAAGCAAAAUAUUCUCUCUCACCUGGUCUGCACUGUGUAAACGAACCUGCAUCCUCUACUGCAGACCAGCAGUCACUGUCUGCAUCCCAUAGCUGUCAGCAGACCCCCAGAGCAAAGGCCUUUCUUUGACAGCCUCCCCCAGUGACCUGCUGAGCUUGGCUUGUCUACGGCCAUGGCCCUGCACAGGCUGCCUGUUGCUGCAUGUUUCUCUGCGCUGCAGCAAUCACAUGGCUCUUUAGUGUAUUUCCUCACCACGAAACCAGAAGCAUGUGACUUCCCAAAUAGCAGGGAGGCGUACCAGCAAUGAAGGGAGUGUCCCACUGGCUCCACCCACACCCAUCAUGCCUGUGAAUUAAAUGUGUUUGACACCUGAUAGUGCAUGAGCUACAGCUUUCAGCUAAAUUUAACAGUACUUGUAAUUGCUUGCGCUAAUAUUUGAGAAAUUACCCUUGUUGUCAGUUUGUUUGACAUUGCAGCAAUACUAAUCAUUAUGUAUCCAACAUGUCUGAUAGUUUACAACUGCUGGCCAAACUAUUUUGAAUUGAGGACUUAUACAAUAAGGUUAAGAAUAUCUACAUCUGAAAAAAUGAAAUUCUACAGAAGAACAGUACAAUCCAAGGCACGCUUAGUGUAUCACUAUUAUUACUAUGUAUUAUUGGAAACAGAAACUUAUACAUUUGCAUAAAUGUGCUUUUAUUAGAAUUCUGUGUGAUGAUGUGAGAAAAUGAACGGUUAAUGUGAUUCAUUUGUUGCAU